GGGUUCGAAUUCUGUUGGUGACUAAUCUAACAUCUAACUUACUAAUGCUAUCGCUCAACUCAAAAAAAAAGAAAAAAAAUAUUCGAAAUAUAUGUAGUGGAUAAACACAAUCUCAAAAUUUAAUUGAACUCACAUAACAACGAUAAAUAAAGACAUUAUCACAACUUAGGGGUGGUGAGCAAUCCCAUUAAAAUAGAACUUAAUAUAUACAUGUUAAAAACAAAAACAAAUUGAUGCAAAAUCUCCUGAUGACUAAUACUAUUCCAAGUCAUGCAUGAAACAUACACAUUUAUCCCUUCAUGCCCCUUGGUUAUUAGCAAACAUCAUGCAUUUACUAAUACUAUUCCAAGUCAUGCAUGAAACCUACACAUUUGUCCCUUCAUUAUAAGCAAACAUCAUGCAUUUACUAAUAUUGUUCCAAGUCAUGCAUGAAACCUACACAUUUGUCCCUUCAUGCCCCUUGGUUAUAAGCAAACAUCAUGCACAAGUUGUUUACAAAUUAGUAGUACUACUAUUCAACUUGUAUCAUGACCGUUUUCUUUCUGUUAUUCAUAGGCCCAAGACAUUGUAAGAAAUAAUGUUGAUUAUUCAAAACGAAUCAACAACUAGUUGCACAAGGUCACAAUCAGAGAUACUCUCAACUUGAUAAGAAAAGAAAAGAAAAAGGAAGUCGACUUCCAAACUAAAAUAAAAUGUAUAUAAAUAUACAAAAUUGUUAUUAUCACUCCAAACUUUCUAUAAUUAGAAAGAAAAAUACACUUGUGCAGACUGUAGAAUGAGAUUUUUGGAGUGCUAAUAAUAGUUCCCUAAAUAUGUCUUGACAAAUAUUGUACAUGACAUUGACUUAGACUUUCGUGAAUAGACUUAUAAUUUCUGGUAUCUAAUAAAUAUCCAGAUUGAAAAUAUUCAUCGAUCUACAAAAUUUUCUCAUGGAGGUACCCAUUUUUUUACCACAGAUACCAAUAUAGAGGCUAAAAGACAAUACAAUAUUAAAUUCAUAUGUGGUCAAGAUAUUUAUGAAUUUAAUCAUUAAAUGCAUAAGCUCAAUUAUACAUUCAAGUUAGAUCAAUUUCCGAAGUUUUGAUCAACAAUAAACUGCUUACCUAUGAGUUCACCUAUAAAUUGUGCAAAAACGAUAUACUUUUUAACCACAAUUUUAUGUAUUGUGAAUUUUUGUCCGCAACUUGUGUGGCAUAUAGAGACUAAAAGAUACUACGAUAUUAAAUCCAUAUAUGGUCGAAAUAUUUAUUAGUUUAAUCAUUAAAAUGCAUAAACUCAAUUACACAUCCAGGUUAGAUCAAUUCUCGAAGUUUUGCUCCACAAUAAAACUGCUUAGCUAUGAGUUCGCCUAUAAAACGUGCAAAGAGGAUAUACUUUUUAGCCACAGUUCAAUGUAAUGUGAAUUGUUGUCUGCAACUUUGUAUCUAAUAAAUAUCCACGAUUAAAAAUAUUCAUUAAUCUACCAAAAUUUAUCAUGGAUGUACCUAUUUUUCUACCAUAAAUAGGAAUAUAGAGCAGCCACUUCUCAUUUUUCUAGGGGAAAUUUUAUUUGAACCCAUAUUUUGUAUCUCAACACCCAACUUACUUUUUAUGCCUACAUUAUAUUUGAUUUAUCUAUCAUUAUCUCUUUACACCCAAUGUUAUUUCCGAAACCAUCCUUACCUAUCAAAACUCAACUCAAUCAAACUUCUUUUUACACCCAACAAUCUACUUAAAUAUAAAAAAUAAAACCCUAACCAGUCCAUCAUCUCCAUGGAGCAAAGCCCCUUCUCUCUCUUUAAAAAAAUCAUUCCAUCUCCCAUGGUUGUCAUUUUGCACCCCCCAUCUACUCCUCCGUAGUCAUCCAAACCUCUUCCUCUUCCUUUUCUUCAUCAUUUGACAUCUCUAUAUUUCUAGAGCACUAAUUAGCUUAAUAAUUGGUAUGUGUUUAAUCGAUUGGUUCAAUUUUUACGUAUUGAUUCCUUUUUCUUUUCAAUUAAAUGAGCUUCUGGUUAGAGUGUUUAAUGAGUUUUGUAUGUUUUAAUUAAAUGAGAAUCUUCUUGACUCUAUAUUCCUAUCUGUGGUCGAAAAAUGGGUACGUCCAUGAUAACUU
rnacentral:lncRNA from 1 species